rnacentral:rRNA from 1 species
CCUACGGGUGGCAGCAGUGGGGAAUAUUGGACAAUGGGGGGAACCCUGAUCCAGCGACGCCGCGUGCGUGAAGACGUAUUUCGGUGUGUAAAGCUCUAUCAGCAGGGAAGAAAAUGACGGUACCUGACUAAGAAGCACCGGCUAACUACGUGCCAGCAGCCGCGGUACUACGUAGGGGGCAAGCGUUAUCCGGAUUUACUGGGUGUAAAGGGAGCGUAGACGGUGCAGCAAGUCUGAUGUGAAAUGCCGGGGCUCAACCCCGGGACUGCAUGUGAAACUGUUGAACUGGAGUACAGGAGAGGUAAGCGGAAUUCCUAGUGUAGCGGUGAAAUGCGUAGAGAUUAGGCGGAACACCAGUGGCGAAGGCGGCUUACUGGACUGUAACUGACGUUGAGGCUCGAAAGCGUGGGGAGCAAACAGGAUUAGAUACCCCAGUAGUC